CUUAAAAUCUUAAACAUAUUUAAGUGAGUAAUUAACGUAAUAAUGUAGUUAGAAUAUAUUUUAUUUUAUUCGUUUCACUAAUUAAGCAAUGUAUAAUAAAAUGUAUAAAAUUUUAACAUAAAAAUUUACUAACUUAAAUUAUGACGAUAAUAUAUAAUUUACGAUUUUAUGAGUUAAACAAGAAGGCUAAUAAAGUUGAUAAUUCACUUAAAGUACAAAAUGUUAACAUUUCACCCAAAAUGUCAUCAAGCCACGUUUGAAGGUGUUAGUGUGGAAAACUUUCUGAUUUUUGGUUGAGAAACAAAAAGGGCAAAAGGAAAAGAGAAGCUAUGGUCAAUUCCCCCAUUAAUUUGCCUUCUUCCUCACCUUUUCAUGGCCAUUUGGCACCCAUGCAAUCAUCACUCUCUUCUUCUUCUUCAGUCAAACCUAUUACCAAUCCUCACAAUUGCUUCUUCAAGUAAACAAAAUCAGAUUACUUACUUCACCAUCCUCCUCUCAACCACUGAUUUUAACUCCCAAAUUUCCACUAUAAAUAGCCAUGGAAGUUCAACAUCAAGAACACAACAACAACCUUCAUCAUCUCUUCUCCCUCUAAUCUGAAAUUCAGUCAACAAUCGCCGGAAAAUUGUAACUAAAAGAAAUCAAAGAAAUCAAAAAAAAAAAAAAAAAAAAAAAAAAGAGAAACCCCCCCCCCCAAAUUCAUUCUCUCACUCCUCUGUUUCGCCCCCCCCCCCCCCGACCGACCACCGUCGGCCACCGCGCGCGCCAACUUCUCCGCGCCCAGUCCCGCCUCCACGCUGUCGUCACUCGUCGGUCACCAGCCCGCCGCCGGAGCUCCGCCAAACUGCCAGCAGCCUCGCGCCCUCUCUCCUCCUCGCGCUCUCCCUCGUCGCGCCAGCAGCACGCGCACCUCCUCGCCGUCGCACUGCCGCCGUUCGCCGGAGACCGUCGCUGCUGCUCGCCGGCGUCCAUUCCUCAGGCGUGAUUUCUUUCUUCCCUGCUCUUAGAAGCAGAGAUUAAGGAAGAUAAAGGAUAUUACAAGCCUCCCCCGGCUAUCAAGGUUAUUAAGCAGGAAUUCAGGUACCGAUGGUGAUAACGGGAUGGCGUAGCAGUGAGGAUUUAAUUAAUAUCUAGAUUAUCUAGACUCUCAUGGUUUUAAUUUAAGUUUAUGUCGAAACUCUGAUUAGUAACUAAGUUUCUAUUAAUCAAGACUAAUGUUGGAUCUAUAUUAUGCUUCAUGUUAUAAAUGUUUAAGUUCACGAUUU